rnacentral:rRNA from 1 species
UGGUAAUGCCGGAUGCUCCAGUUGAUCGCAUGGUGUUCUGGGAAAGCCUUUGCGGCAUGGGAUGGGGUCGCGUCCUAUCAGCUUGAUGGCGGGGUAACGGCCCACCAUGGCUUCGACGGGUAGCCGGCCUGAGAGGGCGACCGGCCACAUUGGGACUGAGAUACGGCCCAGACUCCUACGGGAGGCAGCAGUGGGGAAUAUUGCACAAUGGGCGCAAGCCUGAUGCAGCGACGCCGCGUGAGGGAUGGAGGCCUUCGGGUUGUAAACCUCUUUUGUUAGGGAGCAAGGCACUUUGUGUUGAGUGUACCUUUCGAAUAAGCACCGGCUAACUACGUGCCAGCAGCCGCGGUAAUACGUAGGGUGCAAGCGUUAUCCGGAAUUAUUGGGCGUAAAGGGCUCGUAGGCGGUUCGUCGCGUCCGGUGUGAAAGUCCAUCGCUUAACGGUGGAUCCGCGCCGGGUACGGGCGGGCUUGAGUGCGGUAGGGGAGACUGGAAUUCCCGGUGUAACGGUGGAAUGUGUAGAUAUCGGGAAAGAACACCA